CCCUGCCAUUUGUACACACCGCCCGUCGCACCUACCGAUUGAAUGACUCGGUGAAAAAUUGGGACCGUGAGUCCGUUUGCUUCAUUGCGAAUGGAUUGAUGGGAACUUUUUUAAACCUCGCCAUUUAGAGGAAG
rnacentral:rRNA from 1 species